rnacentral:rRNA from 1 species
GGAAUGUGCAAACGUUAUUCGGAAUCACUGGGCUUAAAGAGUCCGUAGGCGGCAUGUUAGGUGAGGUGUGAAAUCCCCCGGCUCAACCGAGGAAUUGCGCUUCAAACCGGCGUGCUUGAGGAAGAUAGAGGUGGGCGGAACUGAUGGUGGAGCGGUGAAAUGCGUUGAUAUCAUCAGGAACACCGGAGGCGAAGGCGGCCCACUGGGUCUUUUCUGACGCUGAGGGACGAAAGCUAGGGGAGCGAACGGGAUUAGAUACCCCGGUAGUCCUAGCCUUAAACGAUGAGCACUAGACCGAAGGAUCUCCACGAUCUUUUGGUCGUAGCGAAAGUGUUAAGUGCUCCGCCUGGGGAGUAUGGUCGCAAGGCUGAA